GGAUCCAAGCGUUAUCCGGAUUUAUUGGGUUUAAAGGGUGCGUAGGCGGCUUAUUAAGUCAGGGGUGAAAGACGGUGGCUCAACCAUCGCAGUGCCCUUGAUACUGAUGAGCUUGAAUGAACUAGAGGUAGGCGGAAUGUGACAAGUAGCGGUGAAAUGCAUAGAUAUGUCACAGAACACCGAUUGCGAAGGCAGCUUACUAUGGUUUUAUUGACGCUGAGGCACGAAAGCGUGGGGAUCAAACAGGAUUAGAUACCCUGGUAGUCCACGCCCUAAACGAUGAAUACUCGCUGUUAGCGAUAUACAGUUAGCGGCUAAGCGAAAGCGUUAAGUAUUCCACCUGGGGAGUACGCCCGCAAGGGUGAAACUCAAAGGAAUUGACGGGGGCCCGCACAAGCGGAGGAGCAUGUGGUUUAAUUCGAUGAUACGCGAGGAACCUUACCCGGGCUUGAAAGUUACUGAAUGAUCUAGAGAUAGGUCAGUCCGCAAGGACAGGAAACUAGGUGCUGCAUGGCUGUCGUCAGCUCGUGCUGUGAGGUGUUGGGUUAAGUCCCGCAACGAGCGCAACCCCUAUGUUUAGUUGCCAGCAUGUAAUGGUGGGGACUCUAAACAACUGCCUGUGUAAACAGAGAGGAAGGAGGGGACGACGUCAGUCAUCAUGGCCCUUACGUCCCGGGCUACACACGUGCUACAUGGAUGGGUACACAG
rnacentral:rRNA from 1 species